UAGGGAAUCUUCGGCAAUGGACGAAAAGUCUGACCGAGCAACGCCGCGUGAGUGAAGAAGGUUUUCGGAUCGUAAAACUCUGUUGGUAGAGAAGAACGUUGGUGAGAGUGGAAAGCUCAUCAAGUGACGGUAACUACCCAGAAAGGGACGGCUAACUACGUGCUAG
rnacentral:rRNA from 1 species